rnacentral:rRNA from 1 species
CAUCCUACGGGGGGCAGCAGUGAGGAAUAUUGGUCAAUGGUCGGGGGACUGAACCAGCCAAGCCGCGUGAGGGAGGAAGGUACAGAGUAUCGUAAACCUCUUUUGUCAGGGAACAAAGGCGGGGACGUGUCCCCGGAUGAGUGUACCUGAAGAAAAGGCAUCGGCUAACUCCGUGCCAGCAGCCGCGGGAAUACGGAGGAUGCGAGCGUUAUCCGGAUUUAUUGGGUUUAAAGGGUGCGCAGGCGGUCUGUUAAGUCAGCGGUCAAAGCCCGGGGCUCAACCCCGGCCCGCCGUUGCAACAGGGG